AACAAACGCUGGCGGCGUGUCUUAAGCAUGCAAGUUGAGCGGCAAGGAGGAGAGAUCCUCCCUAGAGCGGCGGACUGGUGAGUAACGCGUGGGUAAUCUAUCUUAGGCAUGGGGAUAGUCACUAGAAAUAGUGGGUAAUACCGAAUAAGUUCCAUAAGGGGAGGACUUAUGGAAGAAAGGUGCUACGGCACUGGCCUUAGGUGAGCUCGCGUCCCAUUAGCUAGUUGGUGAGGUAAAGGCCCACCAAGGCGAUGAUGGGUACCGGCCUGAGAGGGUGUACGGCCACACUGGGACUGAGAUACGGCCCAGACUCCUACGGGAGGCAGCAGCUAAGAAUAUUCCGCAAUGGACGGAAGUCUGACGGAGCGACGCCGCGUGGAUGAAGAAGGCCGAAAGGUUGUAAAGUUCUUUUGCUAGGGGAGAAUAAAGUGUAGGGGGGAAUGCCUGCACGAUGACAAGGACUAGCGAAUAAGUCCCGGCAACUACGUGCCAGCAGCCG
rnacentral:rRNA from 1 species